UUCAGUAAGCGAACCCAACCUCUCGGACCCGACCCGAGGCUAGCAGGUAGCAGCUCCGGCAGCCUCAAUGACUCCCUCGGUGUGCCGGGGCCGCGCGGACUCCAACUCCGCCUCCCUCCUCGCCUACUGCAGGCCACGCUGUGUGGAUCGAGGACGUGAACGGCAGCGGCCUUUCUCGGCCUCAAUGCUUGCUCACCCUCACCUCAGCUAUCGAAUCAUUGGGGAUGUCCUCGCUGGUAUCAGAUCGAGUUGGAUUUCAGCUCCAAGAAUUGCACCUGCUGCAUUCAAAAUGAAGGCAUCACAGUUUGGCUAGUGCUGGAUCUAGAUCUCAGCCUUGGCCUCGGUGGAAUGCAACUAUGCAAGGUAGCGAGGAUGCCGGCCAUGGGAAUCCCGGCAUGCUCCAACUCACGGACAGAGCUGCACCGUACAGACGCAGGUAUGGCCUGCAGGCAGGUUCGGAUACGUUUUUCGUCCUGCUAGUUUGCCUAUUAUUGAUCUCUUGAGCUUAGUUUUAUUUUAAAACUCUUUUCAUUCUCUGUGUUCCAUAUGCACAUAUUCGUCUGCAAUUGAGAUUGAGUACACAUGCUGGAUGGAGGAUUUGAGCUAGCAGGUCAGUCAAACAGUCACGAUUCAGCUUUUCACGGCAACUUUGAUAAGUAAUAAUCUAGUAGAAAGCUGGAUUAAUUCUUUUCCUGUGAAAGCACAUGGAGCCAGUUCUAAUUUGGUCUUGAAGCUCAAUGUACCUGCACAUCUAUUUGGAUGCAAUGAUACUUGAAUCGGGACUCCACCUAGUUUUGGGUAAAUCUCAUGUGCCGGAUGCUUUCGACAAUACUAACUGUGAGCAUUGAAUUGUGAUCUCGAUGUAACAAGCCUUCUGCAUGCUCUGCCUCAUAUUCAUGUAGUUUGUACUGAUUAUACUGUGCUGAUUUUUUUCCCUUCUUGACAAUCAUUUUUAGUUGACAGUUCACUAAAAGAUUUCAAGCACGCUACCCAUGAUUCAGAAUUUCAGAUCAGAUAUUCCUAGUAUGAACAAAAGUGGUUCUUUUUAUUUUUAUUACUCCUUGCCCAUUCCAACCUCUGUACCAUAUUGUCAGCAUUAGUUUGUGAGUACUACCUCUAAUUAAAUCCACCUAUGAAUGGAAAUGCUGCUGCAUACGCAUA